AGUGAACGCUGGCGGUAGGCCUAACACAUGCAAGUCGAACGGCAGCACAGUAAUAGCUUGCUCUUACGGGUGGCGAGUGGCGUACGGGUGAGGAAUACAUCGUAAUCUACUUUUUCGUGGGGGAUAACGUAGGUAAACUUACGCUAAUACCGCAUACGACCUACGGGUGAAAGCAUUGGAUCUUCUGACCUUGCGCGAUUGAAUGAGCCGAUGUGGGAUUAGCUAGUUGGCGGGUUAAAGGCCCACCAAUGCGACGAUCCGUAGCUGGUCUGAGUGGAUGAUCAGCCACACUGGAACUGAGACACGGUCCAGACUCCUACGGGAGGCAGCAGUGGGGAAUAUUGGACAAUGGGCGCAAGCAUGAUCCAGCCAUACCGCGUGGGUGAAGAAGGCCUUCGGGUUGUAAAGCCCUUUUGUUGGGAAAGAAAAGCAGCAGGUUAAUACCACGCUGUUCUGACGGUACCCAAAGAAUAAGCACCGGCUAACUUCGUG
rnacentral:rRNA from 1 species